rnacentral:rRNA from 1 species
GCUCAGUAACACGUGGGCAACCUACCCUCAGGACAGGCAUAACCCCGGGAAACUGGGGCUAAUUCCUGAUAGGCACCCUCAACUGGAAUGUGUCGGUGUCGAAAGCUCCGGCGCCUGAGGAUGGGCCUGCGGCCGAUUAGGUUGUUGGCGGGGUAACAGCCCACCAAGCCGACGAUCGGUACGGGCAGUGAGAGCUGUAGCCCGGAGAUGGGGACUGAGACAAGGCCCCAGGCCCUACGGGGCGCAGCAGGCGCGAAACCUUCACAAUGCUCGAAAGAGUGAUGAGGGUACUCCGAGUGCCAGUGCUUAGCACUGGCUUUUCUGCAGCGUAAAUAGUUGCAGGAAUAAGGGCUGGGCAAGACCGGUGCCAGCCGCCGCGGUAACACCGGCAGCCCUAGUGGUGACCGCUUUUAUUGGGCCUAAAGCGUUCGUAGCCGGGCCGGUAAGUCCUUGGGUAAAUCCUGCGUCUCAAGCGCGGGAAUUCUAAGGAAACUACCGGCCUUGAGGCCGGGAUAGGCGAGAGGUACUCCCGGGGUAGGGGUAAAAUCCUAUAAUCCUGGGGGGACCACCGAUGGCGAAGGCAUCUCGCUGGAACGGGCCUGACGGUGAGGGACGAAACCCAGGGGAGCGAGCCGGAUUAGAUACCCGGGUAGUCCUGGGCGUAAAUGAUGUGGGCUUGGUGUGAGCGCAUCGACGAGGUGCGCUUGUGCCGUAGGGAAGCCGUUAAGCCCACCGCUUGGGGAGUACGGUCGCAAGGCUGAAACUUAAAGGAAUUGGCGGGGGAGCAC